CCCUGAUCACCAUGUGAUUCUGCCACGUUUCCCAGAUUCCCUUGUUAAGGUGGUCCCCAAUGGUGUCCAUAUUUCUCUCUCACCGACCUCACCAUCGAGUUGUACUAUUGGAUUUGGAGGAUAUCAGUGCAGCAGAUCGAUCGUCUAGGGGUGGUUGUCUGUGAUCAUCAAGGGCGGGUAAUGAUGUAGAAGCUAUGGCGGCUGUCAAAUCUAUAACAUUUGCCUAUGAAUUUAGACUUUCAUCCAUUAUCAUUGACGGAGAUUUCGUAGUCAUCAAAGCCUUGAGAAGUGAAGAUCAGUCUCUUGCCUCCUUUGGAAAUUUACUCUCCGCUGCAAAGCCUACUACAUAUAGAUGCCUUUAGUUUUAUUUAUUUAUUUAUUUCGUUAUCGUAGAUGAGACAAUUCUGUAAUUUAUAACCUACCUAAAUAUGCAAGACAUGUUAGUAUUUGUUGUAUGUAAA